rnacentral:rRNA from 1 species
CGAACGCUGGCGGCGUGCUUAACACAUGCAAGUCGAACGGAAAGGCCCUGCUUUUGUGGGGUGCUCGAGUGGCGAACGGGUGAGUAACACGUGAGUAACCUGCCCUUGACUUUGGGAUAACUUCAGGAAACUGGGGCUAAUACCGGAUAGGAGCUCCUGCUGCAUGGUGGGGGUUGGAAAGUUUCGGCGGUUGGGGAUGGACUCGCGGCUUAUCAGCUUGUUGGUGGGGUAGUGGCUUACCAAGGCUUUGACGGGUAGCCGGCCUGAGAGGGUGACCGGCCACAUUGGGACUGAGAUACGGCCCAGACUCCUACGGGAGGCAGCAGUGGGGAAUAUUGCACAAUGGGCGGAAGCCUGAUGCAGCAACGCCGCGUGCGGGAUGACGGCCUUCGGGUUGUAAACUGCUUUCGCCUGUGACGAAGCGUGAGUGACGGUAAUGGGUAAAGAAGCACCGGCUAACUACGUG